rnacentral:rRNA from 1 species
UACGUAGGCGGCAAGCGUUGUCCGGAAUUAUUGGGCGUAAAGGGAGCGCAGGCGGGAAACUAAGCGGAUCUUAAAAGUGCGGGGCUCAACCCCGUGAUGGGGUCCGAACUGGUUUUCUUGAGUGCAGGAGAGGAAAGCGGAAUUCCCAGUGUAGCGGUGAAAUGCGUAGAUAUUGGGAAGAACACCAGUGGCGAAGGCGGCUUUCUGGACUGUAACUGACGCUGAGGCUCGAAAGCUAGGGUAGCGAACGGGAUGAGAGACCCCGGUAGGCCGCUGACUGACU